GGGGAUUUAGCUCAGUGGCAUAAGCACCCGCUUUAUGAGCAGGUGGUCGUGAGUUCAAUCCCCG
rnacentral:tRNA from 1 species